GGAUACGGGUAACGGGUCAAGUUAUGGAAGACGGAUACGGAUACGAGGAGCCACUACCCGUGCCCAUACCUGCGGGUGCCAUCUUGAUCUCUCCCUGUCUCUUUGCUUUCUCUUCUCUUCUCUCCUCAUCCCCAUCUCUUCUCUCCCUACCUGCGACCUGACGGCCGCUGCCUACCCCGACCCAGGACCCUCCGCCCCCUGCUCCGACACGGCCGGCCGCCGCUCCCUACCCUGACCCAGGACCCGCCGCCCCCUGCCCCGAGCCCGGCGGCCCCCGACCCCUGCCGCUCCCUACCCCGACCCAGCCGCCGCCGGUCGGCCGUCCCCAUCCUAGGCCACCGCCGGAUCCGCCACGCCGACCCGACCUGCAGCCGCCGGAUCCCGGCCCCCCUCCUCUAAGAUAUCUCUCUCUUUCUCACUCUCUCUCUCUCUCUCAUAUCUCUCUCUUUCUCACUCUCUGAUCUGAUUUUUCUUUCAUUUUUCUGCAGAUCGACAAGGAGCCCAUCCGUGGAGAGGAGGAGCCCCUUCCCGCCCCUCCGUCCGCCCGGCCGCCGUGGAGUGUUCCAACGGAUCCCGUAUGACGCGUGAUGGAGAUGAAAUGGAGGAGUGCGCCGCUGCCAUGGAGGAGUGCACCGCUGGAGAUGAAGUCGUGGAGUGCACUGGCCCUGUUUUGGGUUUGGGUCCUGGCAGCAGCACGCUGCUCGCCCGUGUUUUUUUUUAUUCUGAUAAAAUGGUAUCACUGUCGGGCGCAAGUAAAGGCCCGGCACUAGUAAGUUACUCAUCACUAACGAUAAUUUCUGGCGGGUGAGAUGCCUGUUGUUUUACACCCGUUACUAAUGAGUAUUUCUGUACUGGUGUUUUCAAGAGUAGAAUCUGCGAUCUGGUCAACCCGAGAGCCCCACAGAUCGAUCAAAGGGGUCUCAACUAGAGUUGGGGACUUCGGUGGCUUCCCCACUCCAAACGGAGGAAGUGAGUUCUGGCCGCUAAUAAAAU